GUCUACGGCCAUACUACCCUGAAUGUGCCCGAUCUCUGAAGCUGAGCAGGGCCGGGCCUGGUUAGUACUUGGAUGGGAGACAUGCCACCAUGAUACCUAUUUAUGGUGCCUUAGCUC
rnacentral:rRNA from 1 species